rnacentral:rRNA from 1 species
ACUUUGCUGACGAGCGGCGGACGGGUGAGUAAUGCUUGGGAAUAUGCCUUAUGGUGGGGGACAACAGUUGGAAACGACUGCUAAUACCGCAUAACGUCUACGGACCAAAGGGGGGGAUCUUCGGACCUCUCGCCAUUUGAUUAGCCCAAGUGAGAUUAGCUAGUUGGUAAGGUAAAGGCUUACCAAGGCGACGAUCUCUAGCUGGUUUGAGAGGAUGAUCAGCCACACUGGGACUGAGACACGGCCCAGACUCCUACGGGAGGCAGCAGUGGGGAAUAUUGCACAAUGGGCGAAAGCCUGAUGCAGCCAUGCCGCGUGUGUGAAGAAGGCCUUCGGGUUGUAAAGCACUUUCAGUUGUGAGGAAAGGGGUGUAGUUAAUAGCUGCAUCCUGUGACGUUAGCAACAGAAGAAGCACCGGC